rnacentral:rRNA from 1 species
AUUGAACGCUGGCGGCAGGCAUAACACAUGCAAGUCGAGCGGAGCGGCGGACGGGAGAGUAAUGCCUAGGAAUCUGCCGGGGAGUGGGGGAUAACGUCAGGAAACGGGCGCUAAUACCGCAUACGCUCAGCUGGGCCCAGGACGGAUUAGCUAGUUGGUGGGGGAAAGGCCUACCAAGGCGACGAUCCGUAACUGGUCUGAGAGGAUGAUCAGUCACACUGGAACUGAGACACGGUCCAGACUCCUACGGGAGGCAGCAGUGGGGAAUAUUGGACAAUGGGCGAAAGCCUGAUCCAGCCAUGCCGCGUGUGUGAAGAAGGUCUUCGGAUUGUAAAGCACUUUAAGUUGGGAGGCGUUACCAACAGAAUAAGCACCGGCUAACUUCGUGCCAGCAGCCGCGGUAAUUC